GACGAACGCUGGCGGCGUGCCUAAUACAUGCAAGUCGAGCGGACUGAUUAAGAGCUUGCUCUUAUGACGUUAGCGGCGGACGGGUGAGUAACACGUGGGCAACCUGCCCUGUAGAUCGGGAUAACACCGAGAAAUCGGUGCUAAUACCGGGUAAUAUCUGAGAUCACAUGAUCUUAGGUUAAAAGAUGGCUCCGGCUAUUACUACAGGAUGGGCUCGCGGUGCUUUUGCUAGUGGGUACGGUAAUGGCUUACCAAGGGGACGGUGCGUAGCCGAUCUGGGAGGGUGAGCGGCCACGCUGGGACGGGGACACGGCCCAGACGCCUACGGGAGGCAGCAGUAGGGAAUCUUCCGCAAUGGACGAAAGUCUGACGGAGCAACGCCGCGUGAGUGAUGAAGGGUUUCGGCGCGUAAAGCUCUGUUGUUAGGGAAGAAACAGUACCGAACGAACUAGGUCGGUACCUUGACGGUACCUAACCAGAAAGCCACGGCUAACUACGUG
rnacentral:rRNA from 1 species